CUUGUAACAUUUUUUUCCCAUCUUAAGAAAUCUUGCAUAUCCAAACCCAGACUAAAAUCCAUAAUGCAAUUACCUUUGGCAUUCAAUCAAUGCAUAUACUGUAGGCAACCUUUAGAUUCAGGCUAAAUGUUUCCUUUUCAAGAGCAGUGUUUGGGGGCUAAUGGAAGACCAGUCAUUGUCACAAAACCUCCACAGUUUCAUUUUGUUUCUGCUUUGCCACUGAUGACUGUGAGGUUAGGAAGAGAUCACUUUUUCCAGAUAAUGAAUGCACUGUGCUUCCAGCUGUGCUGGUCUGGAGGAUUGAGUGUGUAUUCAAUAAGCACAGAAUCUUUUGCUGUCAACAGCAACAUGUGUGAUUUCAAAGGCCAUUAUUUUGAUUUACAACAGUUGUAGUGAAUUAAUAAAACCUUAAGUUUUUCCAUUUUUGGACACAGGAAUGCAAAUGAAGUUACUCAACGGAAUAGUCAUCCUGGGGUAUGGAAGAUUUGUUGGCUUAUUUGGGACUUUCUUCCCAAACUUCUGGGUCUCCAAAAUGGGAAGAUAAGCCAUUAAAAUAUAGUCAGGGAAAAGAAAGAACUUGCCUGCAUUUAAUCUGAUAUUACUGUGAAUAUUUUUGAAGACAGCAGGAUGUAGUCCAAAUUGGAAGGUGAGUAGAGGGAAUCUGCAAAGCAGAAUAACAUAGUUGUAUUGUAUUCCAGGAGAAAAUGAAGUUCCAGCUGAAGAUGCACUAGUUCUACAACUUCAACUUGCUAAAGGACAGGAAAAAUUCAUUGAGAUGCUGAAAAGCCAACAGAAGGUAAUUGCAGAUUUGCAGCAGAAGCUUACCGAGCAGCAGAACACACUGAUUAGCCAGCAACAAGAAAUUCUGGAACAGCAGAUGAAAAUGUACACUCAAAUGGAUAUGAUAAAAGUUCAGUAUGGCAUGCUUUUUGACUCAGUGAAGCAGAUGUCAUUCCAGAGUUUGCAGGAAGACAUUCAACAAUAUUUCCAAACUCAUCUUCAAGGACUUCACAAGCAGGUCAGAAAUCAUCUCCAAACAUCCUACUCGGUGCAUAAAGUUGGAUUUGAUGCAAAAGAGACUGGUGUCGGGCAACCUUCACUGGACUGUGGCCCGUGUGAAAGUGAUGAAUUUUGCAAUUUCCAAAAGACACCAUCAUGGUGUGAAAAAUGCACUCUGUGCCCUGCUGGCUUUUUUCAAAUGUCCGAAUGUUCCGCAAAUGCUGAUCGGAUUUGUCAGGACAGAGAUGAGUGCACUGAAUCUCCCAAUAUUUGUGGUGAAAAGAUAAAAUGUCUGAAUACUCCAGGGGGCUUCCGGUGCCUAGGAGUGGCUGAGAAGGAUGCAGCGCUGGGACUGUGUGGUGAAGGGUAUUUCUUCAAUAAAGAAAUGCAGGAAUGCCAGGCCUGUACGGCGUGCGAGGAAGGAGCAGUGGCAAUGCCCUGUGCUGCCAUCAGCGACACCGUAUGUGCAGCCCCCAGAGAAAGUCGACUCUCUGAAGCCUGGGCUGCAGACGUUGCCUUACCCCACACAGAGGCAGGUGACAUCCCAGUCUACUCCGGCUUUAACCUCAAGAUCGAAGGUGAACAUCCAGGGGAAAUAGGAUCGGUUCAAGACACUCGCCUAGUCUUCAGGCAACACGGCCUGGUGUGGGCAGACCUCAAUUUUGCUGUGAAACACAACUGCCGGAAUUUUCUCCAGCUCUCCCUGAGGUUAAAUAGUAGCGAGGAGGGGUACGAACUCGGCGGGGUUCGCAUUGAGCAGCCAGAGGGCAAGUAUAUCCAGAGCACCACAUUAAGCAGUUCAGCAGAGGUGGAACCCAGCCAGACCCUCUCGGUGACCCUGAAGAGCCCAAAUCAGUUCUGUAACCGGAGUAAAGAUUUGAAUGUGUACAACCUCAGCACACCCCUCAGUAUCUUCUGGUUGUCCCAUGACACGGGGGCUGUGGCCAUGAGCGCCCAGAUGUCAACUGCAGUACACUACCAAACGAACCACCGCCCAACUCUUAAAAUCGUCUCGGUGUCUGACCCAUAUAUGAUCAGCUUGUCUCACGACGGAAGAGGUAUAAAGUUCACCGAGGCAGGAGUCAUCAAGUUUGUUUUCCAUCAAGCCCUGUACUCCAUGGGCCACACGUGUGUCCGGGAAGGCUUUUCCUUGAUUUCUUACAUCACCCGUAACAGCACCAGCAUUGAACUGGUGAACGUUUUCAAGUCUGGCGUCAAUUACAGAGACACGACACUGUCAUCCUCUGGGGCCACCAAAGUCCAUGCCGGGGACCUGAUAAGCUUUGAGAUUCUGUCUCCAGCUCAGUGCAGUGUGCGCUACUUUGGAGACAACUCUGGUGUCAGUAUGUUUAGCCUCAUCUGGAUCCCGUCAGCAGUCUCUACCGCUCUUUCGGCCACUGUUUCCGUUUCAGGGUUACCCACGGGAGCUGUCAGGAACAAAGUUUUGGACUUCAACCUCGUCACAUCCAAUGAGAACCAGAUUCAGCUGGUUUCUUCCGGGCCAAUGGCUCAGAAGUAUUUCGUGUUUACUGAAAAGGGAAUUGCCAGCAUUGCUUUUAAUCUAAAGUUGAUCCACUCAUGUAAUGUAAUCAAAAUUACUUUGAAUGAGCGGAUCCGUGGUCAGUUGCAACCAGCAGUACUUGCUCAGCAAAUUGGAGGUCAGAUGCCAGAGGGAAGCCUAUGGACCAGUGUGGGUCUCCGUUCUUCUUUCGAAGUCCACAAUGGUACAACGAUUUCUGUUUCCCUUGACUGUGUCCGUGGAAGGAUCAAUCAAAUCGCUCAUGAACACGGCACCAGCAUAUCCAUUUUGUGGAUCUCGUCUCAACUUUCUUAG
rnacentral:lncRNA from 1 species